AUUGAACGCUGGCGGCAGGCCUAACACAUGCAAGUCGCACGAGUGGCGGACGGGUGAGUAAUGGCUGGGAAACUGCCCGAUGGAGGGGGAUAACUACUGGAAACGGUAGCUAAUACCGCAUACCAUCGGAUGUGCCCAGAUGGGAUUAGCUGGUAGGUGGGGUAACGGCUCACCGAGGCGACGAUCCCUAGCUGGACUGAGAGGAUGAUCAGCCACACGGGAACGGAGACACGGUCCAGACUCCUACGUGAGGCAGCAGUGGGGAAUAUUGCACAAUGGGCGAAAGCCUGAUGCAGCCAUGCCGCGUGUAUGAAGAAGGCCUUCGGGUCGUAAAGUACUUUCAGCGGGGAGGCGUUACCCGCAGAGUAAGCACCGGCUAACUCCGUGCCAGCAGCCGCGGUAAUUC
rnacentral:rRNA from 1 species